GCCUGGGUGGCUUAGUUGGUUGAGUGUCCGACUUCAGCUCAGGUCACGAUCUCGUGGUCUGUGGGUUCGAGCCCCGCAUCGGGCU
rnacentral:tRNA from 1 species